UUUCACCCUGCUCUCUAGAUGCGGUGUUUUUCAUUUAUUUUAAUUUUCAUGUCUCGCAUUUUUACUCAAGUGUUGAGACUACGAGUUUAUCAUCAUCAAGGUCCUUAUGGCGCCUCAAGGACAAUAUGGCGUUCAACGUGUUUUCGAAGCAUACAAUAUUUCGUUGAUUUGUUGAACGAUGUGAGAACUAUCAAUAAUGGCAAUAGGCUUCAUUGCUAUUUUUCUACUUCCAUUUCAAUUCCCUUUCAUAACAAUUUUCUACUUCUUGUUGUAGAUAAUUUUAACGUAACAUAUUUCUGGAAUAUAUGUCCGAUACACGACACUCCUCGGGCACGAUGGCCAACUCUCCAAAUAACAUCAAUGUUAUAAGUACCGCAUAAAUAGUGAUUGCCCUUGAAUGUGACAAGCUGAAGUUUAAUAUAUAGUGGAUAAGCUCGGUUAUCGGUGACGUCACUAGUCAAAGUAAGCUUUUUUGAAACUGAGUAUAAAUUAUCAGUGAUCAAUAUUUCGAGCACACCAAGGCUUAUUGUCGUUCCUGAGCUGACGGCUUGCAGAAAAUUGUGAAUGUUUGGUUUUACUGGGUAAACACACACUGUAAACAAAUACUGUGAUUUCUACGGGCGUUUAAUAGUAUCUGACGACGGCGUGUUACCGUAAUCACAAAUACUGCGAAAACUACGUAAAACGAUGGCGCCAUCAUCAUGCGCCGGCCAAAAACUUCAAUGCGGAAGCAAGGCCAAGCCAAGUACAGGGCAUUGCCAUCAUUGGGCGCGUAAUAGCGAAUUCGGGUGGUCAUUUCGGAGCAACUUUUUUUGCCAGAUCUCGAGCAGUCAUGUUCGCUUGGUCAAAAUGAAGCAAAUCUCGCAUGUCCGCGUGGCGCUUUCCGAGCGCUCGGAAUUUGCUAGCUAGGACUUUUUUUGCCCGGGCUCAAAACGAUCGAGCAGCAGAUUGCUCAACUGUAUCCGGUGUCGUCACAUCCGCACUGCAACGGUGGCGCGUGCCUUCAUUGGCCCGCACGUUGAAAUCACGUGGUUUAGCAGACGACAGACCUCGAAGACUUGCGACCGCGACGCCCCUAGCGUGAUCAAAGUACCUAAAACCGCUAGAUUCCUAGCAAUCAUGUUCGGGUGGCAACGGUCACGUGAUCCAGCUCGGUCGCCGACCUAGCAAUUUCCUAGCGCUCGGCCGUUUUGCUACGAAGUGACCACCCGAAUUCGCUAUUAGGUUCGUGCUCCGGGAACAUUCCCUCUUUCAGGGGAUCACUUAACACCUCCAAAGUAACUUCCGGUGCACGUUCCCGGGUGCACCCUGCGCGCCCCUUCUUCGGAGCCUGGGAGCCGGAGAACGCUGGGGAAGAGCGAGGUCAGUUCCGGAGCGUGACGCAUGUUCCGGUGUACUGCGAAAUGGCGCAACCGUUGAAACACGUGGCAACCGCCCAUGCUCUUUGUGUUUCCGGAAUCAUCGGAUGCCGGCGCUAAAUAGUUAUACGAUUAUAGAGGACUGCUAUGAUCUACUGCUAUGAUAGGCGGCGCGCGCUCAGCGGCUCUGGCGCUCGGCUUCCGGAUAGGCUCACAAACACCAUUAAGUAGAGAAACCAAGGGUACGUUCCCCUGAAAACUCGGGUUAUGGCGCUCGGGAGCCUGCUUAACGCGCCCAUUCGCAACCGCCGGAAGCGGAACAUCGUGCGCGGACGAUGGCUGACGAAGGAGGACGAAGCGGUUGUUGUAAAUCUCGUGAAUGCACGUAGUCAGGUAAGCACAUUUCUGUUCGCAUAUCUUGUUCUUUGCCAUUUGAGCGUGGUGCACCGUAUGCCUGAUUUUUGUUCAACUUAUGUGACACCAGUAAAUCGUGGCUCGCGUUUGCUGUGAAGCGUCUCCAUAGUUCUCCGUGUGUCAUGCGUCCUGGUUCGUAGGGUGAUCAAGGCGCUCUUAUUGUAAUGUAUCGUUGCGGAAGGUGCCCUUGUGUUUUUAACACUCUGAUGGGCUAGUUGACCACCGUAGAGGUGUACAUGAAGCGAGCAGAAUACCGUGCUGUCAUGCAUUGUGUGUACACGGCGGCGAACUAUGUAAAACUCGGAUGUCACUUUUUGGGACGUUACAAGAACACACCAGGGCGGUCGGCUCGAAUGGAUUUGCUCUCCGAAACCACGAAAGUAUGCCACGUCCAUUCGUGUUCGCGUCUGUUCACUACGAAUAUAGAGACAGUGUCGCAUAUGAAGCAGCACAUACGAGAGGGUCAUGAUCAGGUGUCCUUAUGAAUACUGCCAGAAGAAGUUCCGUGCCGUCUCUGCGUUUUGUGCGCACCUUCUGAUGUUCUUCCUUUGAAAAAAUAACACAGUGAGUCUAAUUUCCUUUCUCUUUGAAGUGUUUUGAUGCCAGAGCUGACUGAUGGAUGCACAUGGUUCCUUCGUAUGUUCUUCCUUCAAAAAAACAAACGAUGAGUAUAACUGCAUCUCAAUUGCCCUGCUCCCUGUAACAGUUUCCUUUCUCUUUGCAGUGUUUUGAUGCUAGAGCUGACUGAUGGGUGCACAUGGUUCUUUCGUAUGUUCUUCUUUGAGAAAAUAAACAGGUUUUGAUGCCAGAGGCGACUGGCGCAUUUUCAUCACUAUGUACAUGGAAAAUAAAUCCUAAUGUGACAAACAUCACAA